rnacentral:antisense_RNA from 1 species
AUCUAUGGUGAUUCAGGUGGGGCAACCGUAAGGUUGAUCGGUAACCGUUUAGGCCGGAUUUCUCACCCCCGUCUGGAUUGCCACCAAA